AAAAUAAAUAUCUAGAGGAAAGGGGGGAGCCACGUGAGAGAGGGAGAGAUAGAGGACUCAAGGAGAAGAAGGAAGGAAGAGCUUGAGAAUGAAGAGGAAAGAUGGGAAAAUUGAUGGAAUUACUUCAAGAGAUUGGCUCUAGGUCGAGACGAGAACAUCGUCCUAUUACCACCGGGAACUGAUCACUGCACUCCACCUGGAGGUCAGUUUUAACCCAUGGCAUCCGUGCCUCUUUUGUCAACCUCAGAGUAUCCAGGCACUUAAGUGAAGGGAGCCUUUUUGCUAAACUUUUGAUUUUACACUCUGAUUGUUUGCUUA